CCUACGGGUGGCAGCAGUGGGGAAUAUUGCUCAAUGGGGGAAACCCUGAUGCAGCGACGCCGCGUGAGUGAAGAAGUAUUUCGGUAUGUAAAGCUCCGUCAGCAGGGAAGAAAAUGACGGUACCUGACCAAGAAGCCCCGGCUAACUACGUGCCAGCUGCCGUGGGAAUAUGCCGGGGGCCAGCGUUAUCCGGAUUUACUGGGUGUAAAGGGAGCGUAGACGGCAGGGCAAGUCUGGAGGGAAAGGCGGGGGCUCAACCCCCGGACUGCUGUGGAAACUGCCAGGCUGGAGUGCAGGAGAGGUAAGUGGAAUUCCUAGUGUAGCGGUGAAAUGCGUAGAUAUUAGGAGGAACUCCAGUGGCGAAGGCGGCUUACUGGACUGUAACUGACGUUGAGGCUCGAAAGCGUGGGGAGCAAACAGGAUUAGAUACCCCAGUAGUC
rnacentral:rRNA from 1 species